GCUCGUAUAGUAUAGUGGUUAGUAUAUCCCCUUGUGGCGGGGACGACGCCUGUUCGAUUCAGGCUACGAGCA
rnacentral:tRNA from 3 species